GUCAGUUGAAAGGUGAAAUUGUUACUUGAGCUUGGUAACAGUCGUACCAGCAUAGACAUGUAACAGAGAAGACAGAGAAGAUACUAAUGAUAAAUCGAGCCACAAGUUGUUGACAAAUCGACAGUGCCAUGAUCACCCGUUUUCACAAGCUGGCCCCAAAAGCAGAACAGAGUCCAUGCAUAGUUCCAAGUGCAUCAGAAGUAAUGUGGCACUGAGUGAAACAGUUAGUAAAUUAUGGAUUUUUCUAUUUCUGAAGGGACAAAAGUGUCAUAUGAGACUGGUUAUAAUCAUUUUUUUUAAUUUUUGCUAUUAAAUGGUAUAAGUGUUACUGACAGCAAGCCUUAUUCAGUGUCAGAAGAUCUAUUGAUAUAUUUUGCUACACAUUGCUUUCAACAUCUCAAACUACAGUACUCUACAAUUAAACUAUACAUAUGUGGAAUUAGACAUAGAUGCUUAAAGGAUAAUAUAUGUUCUCCUUUCAAUAAUUCUAGUAACAAUUUAGAGAGACUGUCCUUGUUUUUUAAUUCUAUUAAAAGAUUACAGAAACCGAUCAUUAAAGAUCACUUACCUAUAACCUUUGAUAUCCUUCAAAAUUUAUGUGUUAAGCUUAAAGAAGGAAUUUUUUCACCUUUUAUUGACCAGAUGUUAUAUACUGCUUUUACAGUAGCUUUUUAUGGUUUCUUACGCUGUGGCGAGUUUACAAUUCGCAGGUCAAAAUCAUUUGAUUGUACCAACAAUAUAUGUAUAUCUGAUGUUUUAUUUUAUUCUGACUAUGUUAUUUUACAUUUAAAGCAUUCUAAAACUGACCCUUUCAGGAUGGGUGUUGAUAUUCAACUUCACAAGCUAAAUCAUGAUUGUUGUCCAUUUAAAGCUUUACAUGAUUAUUUGAUUGUAAGCUUAAGGAAAACCAUGUUUAAAUUUCAAAAUAAUAGUGCUUUAUUUAUUGAGGAAUCGGAUAAAGCUCUAGAUAGAGAAUUUUUUAUCAGAAUUUAGUUAAAGCAUCUUUUGGGUAUCUGUGCAUGGUUAUAAUCCUCAGUCCUUUAACGGACAUUCAUUUCGAAUUGGAGCUGCUACAACAGCUGGAAAAUCUAAUAUUGAGGAUCACUUAAUUAAAACAUUAGGUGGAUGGAAUUCUAAUAGUUAUUGUCGCUAUAUAAGAACUAGUAAAAAUGUAAUUAAAAAAGCACAACAAAAGUUUUCAUGAUGAUUCUUCCAUUAUGUCAUAUAUCCUGUGUAAAUAGUUUUUGCUUUUAUUCUUAUUUUAUACCAUAUAGUGUACAUUUGCACAUGUACAAUACAUACCUGUAGAUAUUAAAUAUUUGAGUAUUUAAAUAUCAUGUA